rnacentral:rRNA from 1 species
GGGUUGUAAACCUCUUUUCACAGGGAAGAAUAAUGACGGUACCUGUGGAAUAAGCUUCGGCUAACUACGUGCCAGCAGCCGCGGUAAUACGUAGGAAGCAAGCGUUAUCCGGAUUUAUUGGGCGUAAAGUGAGCGUGGGUGGUCUUUCAAGUUGGAUGUGAAAUUUCCCGGCUUAACCGGGACGAGUCAUUCAAUGCUGUUGGACUAGAGUACAGCAGGAGAAAACGGAAUUCCCGGUGUAGUGGUAAAAUGCGUAGAUAUCGGGAGGAACACCAGAGGCGAAGGCGGUUUUCUAGGUUGUCACUGACACUGAGGCUCGAAAGCGUGGGGAGCGAACAGAAUUAGAUACUCUGGUAGUCCACGCCUUAAACUAUGGACACUAGGUAUAGGGAGUAUCGACCCUCUCUGUGCCGAAGCUAAC